AUGAGCGCCCGGCGGUUUGUGAACCUGCUGGUGUCGGAUUGCCAAAAAUUCACGUCCACGCUGCGGCGCUUCGACCUGUCCCGCAACCAGCUCUUCUACCCAACACCAGAAGAAGCAGUGGAACAUGCCAAGGUGGUGCCUCCAUUGACGCCGGGCAUGUCCAACAAGCCAGCCCUAACAACCAGCCCCUCGGCGGUGGCCGUGGCCGGGGCGGGGGCGGAGCGAAAGAAGAAGAACAAGAUGAUGAUGAAGAAGCCGGUUUACAUUCGGCUGCCGGCGGCCACGGUCACCAUGAAACCAUCGAUAUGUGCGAUGACCCCUUACGAUCAAUGGGGCAGGAUGUACUGCUUCCCUCUCACCGAAACCAAGCUCUUCUUCGGCGACAGCUCCACGCGCAUCUUCCGCUUCGACGUCGAGACCCACUGCAUCGACACCAUGCCCAGCCUCCACACGCCCAAGCGCUCCCCCUUGGCCCUUUCCAUCCCUCAGGAUCCGACCACCUCGAAGGAAGGCGAAGGUGGAGCCCUUUACAUCAUGGACAGCAUCCUCGGGCCUUACAAUGAGGGUCAGGUCCAGUUCGAGGCUAUCGUGUACCGCAGGCGGUUCCACCCCUGCUCCAGCAAGGCGUGGCACUGCGACGCCCUCCCGCCGCCGCCUUUCGUCCACGACCUGCAGGUUGGUAACAAACCGGCGUCCAUCUGCUCCUACGCCUUGGUUGGCGGCCACACCAUCUGCAUCUCCGUCACGGGAGUCGGCACCUAUUGCUUCGACACGGUGACUCGCGAGUGGUGCAAGGCCGGCGACUGGCUCAUGCCGUUCCACAGCAAGGCAGAGCACGACCCGGAGCUCGGCCUCUGGUUUGGCGUCUCUCACAGCAACUUCCACCUCCCGUGCGCCGCAGACAUCUCCGGUGUCGUCCGAGGGGAGGAGCCGCUGCCGGAGCACACACGAAUCUGGGCGGACACUGAUGUGCCAGAGGGAUGGUACCCGCACUACCGCCCUGCCGAAGUCGUCAGCCUCGGUUCGGGCAGCUGCGGCCACUGGUUGGUUGAUGACAUAUUGGCUGUCUUCACGGGCAUGGAGGUAGUGUUACCCGGCAAUGACAAUGGGAAUGACAACGACGAGGGUGAUUUCAAAGGCAACAACAAUGGGAAUGGCAAUAAUGACAAUGGCGAUUGCAAAGGCAAUGUCAAUGGGAACGGCAACGGGUCACCUGGUGUCCGUAUGAUUAAGCAUAAAUCCAGAUUUUGUGGGACUCACGGCACCAACAUGAUCGUGUCGGUGCUCUGA
rnacentral:rRNA from 1 species